AUUGAUUGGUCUAGUAACGACUGAUGUAACAAAGGCCACCUUGAUCCUAUGUCAGUAUAGUUAAUGGACGAGAUUGUUCGGAUAUACCCUAAGGACAUGAUAGCAAAUUUUGAGCUCAUAAGGUUAAGCACAUUUAUUUGAUUACAUAUGCAUGUGGCCUAGUGGGAGAUUGUUAGAUUAAUUUUUGUAAUUAAUCUAUAAUUUGGGCCACACAUGUAAAUAAUUAAAAUGUGUGUGCUAUCAUUUAAUUAAGCCUAAAUAUAGUGAUCUAAUUAAUAAUUGAUUAAUUGGC
rnacentral:lncRNA from 1 species